rnacentral:rRNA from 1 species
UACGUGAAACCGUUCAGGGGUAAACGGGAGAAAUCCUGAACUCGAAUGGGGUUGGAUUCAGGUCAUAUCCAUAUCGCAGUUGUCCACCUGGCCCCACCAGAUGGUCGUGGUCGCCCGCGGCGAUUCAUUUCGCUUGCGGUGUCGUUCCGCCGAUCACUCGGAGGGGUGGUGUGAUCUUUCGAUGGAGUGUCUGCAUUUCCCCCCUAGUAGAAACGUCGCGACCCGUUGGGUGCUGGUCUAAGGCCUGGGAUGGCAGACCGCGCGUUAUGUGGCUGUGACCACAGGCGCGUGGACUCCUGGUGACCCGGCCAGCUGCCCGACGGUAUGAUCAGAGGAGUCGAUCCGCUCGAUGCAAAACACUUUGGUUGUGUAGCGUCCGGCCCUGUGCCGACGCGUGUGGGGAAUGAGGUGCAAACCGGGGGUGUCCGUGCGAAGCACGGCCCCGGCCCCGCUGCGCGUUUGGUCCAGGUGUCCUCGGACUGGAUCAGUACUCCCGUCUGCGACGCCCACCUUCGGAUGG